UUGUGUUGAGGUGAAUUAUUGCGGAGUUUAAGAUGGAGUUGGCGAUCAAGUUCAUGAUUGUUGGAUGAGGUUGCAUAUAAUCGUUCUUGAGUUUAUUAUGGAGUUGGAUUGCGAUUUAAGGUUUGUAUUGGGAGCUCAUAGUGGAUCGAAAGUAAAGAGUUGAUUAUUGAAUUGUAAAUAUAUUAGUGAUUCGAAGUUAGAUAUAGAAUAUAACUUAUUGAAUAUAAAGUCCUCAUUUGGUGUUUAAGUAUUAUAUUGUUUUGGGAAUAAAGUAAAUUGUAAUUCGUCAUUGGUUGUGAAGAUUAUUAUUUUGUGGACCCUGACCCAUAGGUCCAGGAUCGUGUAAAAAGGUUUUGUUCCGCUGCGAGUAAAUAGUUAAUUCGAGGUUAUUAAGUGUUAA